rnacentral:rRNA from 1 species
CUCCAUGAAGUCGGAAUCGCUAGUAAUCGUAGAUCAGAAUGCUACGGUGAAUACGUUCCCGGGCCUUGUACACACCGCCCGUCACACCAUGGGAGUGGGCUGCAAAAGAAGUGGGUAGUUUAACCUUCGGGAGGACGCUCACCACUUUGUGGUUCAUGACUGGGGUGAAGUCGUAACAAGGUAGCCCUAGGGGAACCUGGGGCUGGAUCACCUCCUUAUACGAAGAUA